AUUAUUACACGCAAAGGUAAUAAUAGAUUGUUUAGGGGAAACUUUAAAUAAUUUAAAUCGGGGAGGAAAUGUCUUGAUUUA
rfam:Marine metagenome 1096626775618, whole genome shotgun sequence.